GAUGAACGCUGGCGGUGUGCCUAAUACAUGCAAGUCGAGCGAACAGACGAGGAGCUUACUCCUCUGACGUUAGCGGCGGACGGGUGAGUAACACGUGGAUAACCUACCUAUAAGACUUGGAUAACUUCGGGAUACCAGAGCUAAUACCGGAUAACAUGUUGAAUCGCUCGGUUCAACAGUGAAAGACGGUCUUGCUGUCGGUUAUGGAUGGAUCCGCGUCGCAUUAGCUAGUUGGUAAGGUAACGGCUUACCAAGGCAACGAUGCGUAGCCGACCUGAGAGGGUGAUCGACCGCACUAGAGCUGCGACACGGUCGAGACGCCUACGGGAGGCAGCAGUAGGGAAUCUUCCGCAAUGAGCGAAAGCAUGACGGAGCAGCGCCGCGGGGGUGGAGAAGGUCUUCGGCGCGUAAAGCUCUGUUAUUGGGAGUGAACAAAUGUGUAAGUAACUGUGCACGGCUUGACGGUACCUGGUCAGAAAGCCACGGCCAACUACGUG
rnacentral:rRNA from 1 species